rnacentral:rRNA from 1 species
GAACGCUGGCGGCGUGCCUAAUACAUGCAAGUCGAGCGAACAGACGAGGAGCUUGCUCCUCUGACGUUAGCGGCGGACGGGUGAGUAACACGUGGAUAACCUACCUAUAAGACUGGGAUAACUUCGGGAAACCGGAGCUAAUACCGGAUAAUAUAUUGAACCGCAUGGUUCAAUAGUGAAAGACGGUUUUGCUGUCACUUAUAGAUGGAUCCGCGCCGCAUUAGCUAGUUGGUAAGGUAACGGCUUACCAAGGCAACGAUGCGUAGCCGACCUGAGAGGGUGAUCGGCCACACUGGAACUGAGACACGGUCCAGACUCCUACGGGAGGCAGCAGUAGGGAAUCUUCCGCAAUGGGCGAAAGCCUGACGGAGCAACGCCGCGUGAGUGAUGAAGGUCUUCGGAUCGUAAAACUCUGUUAUUAGGGAAGAACAAAUGUGUAAGUAACUAUGCACGUCUUGACGGUACCUAAUCAGAAAGCCACGGCUAACUAC